UGGGAUAUCGUCAAGCGGUAAGACACAGCACUUUGACUGCUGCAUUUCGCUGGUUCGAAUCCAGCUAUCCCAGCCA
rnacentral:tRNA from 1 species